AGGUCAUUAGAAACUAUAUGCUUUUCAGACGUCAUUGAAUGUUUAAGUUAAAUAUCUGUCAGCGCACUCAACACGCAAAACCUCUGACGUAACAGACAUAACUUCAGAAAAAUGCACAGCCAAUAUAUCCGCAAACUUUAGCGUUACCUGUGACAUUUGGCCUCUCGACAUGAAAUACAGACAAACGACAACAGAUAGCACGAGAAAGCUAAAGAGGGCCAUGCUACAUCACACGCGCACAAGAAGAUUUGACCAUCACCAUAAUCAUAACCCAGCAGCAGUGACGCGACGCAGGUCGCGAGCCUGUCAGCUACAUCAGCCCACCGUGGUUCCAGCAGACAGAAAACUAGUGCAUAGCACACGACGCGCUCUCUUUUGUGACGGAUAUGUCUCACCUGAACGCAAAACUCAUGUCAACAUUGAGCCCCCUUUGAGCCACAGAAACGUUGACACUGCACCGGAUCAUGUAAAUCUCGCGAAACCUGUGGAAACAGAAGAUAACGAAGGAAGACUCUAUCUCCCAGAGUGCCUUGCGCGGCGCUUCCCGCGACAGUGGAGAGACGUCAUCCACGCCUCCAACUUCUCUGCAGCACUGAGAAGGAGACCACGCCUGCCGAUGCCCCAUUGCAAAUCAACGGGCCACCAGAAUCACCCUAGAAAGCACAGAAAACAAAGGCAUGAAGUAGUGGUUUACUGAAAUUUUAGUACCUUAUAGUAUCAGCACACUAGUCUAGUGGUGCUGUAUAAAUCCACCACCCGUGUCUGACUCUGCUCUCUCUUUAUAUGUCUAUUUUACCGAGCAAAAUCCUUGGAUAUUCUGCUCUCCGGUGCCACAAAUCAUCCCCUGAGUGAUGCGAACACCUAGCCAUCUUUGGCGACACGUCCGCUGUGAGAGGAUCGUCACGUUGACCUCUUGAAGCGUGUCAGCAGCUUUAACCGGUGAAACAUCUGUCGGUGAACAUCGCAUUCAAGCGUGGAAAUGAAAAGAAGAAUUUCGGACACAGUGGCAGCUUCUGAAGUUUGGAGAGGGGCAGUUUUCUUGUAUAACACUGGACUGGAUGACAACAGAGAUCCUCCAGUCCAGGAGCAAUUUGUAUGCCACUCUAGUUCCUUCAAAUGUUCAGUAAUUCCAUGAGACAUUGUCGUUCUCACUCUGAUGGUCAGAUUUCACUUUUACGAGUGGCGUGAAAGCUUAGCCUGUGCGCUGGAAAAUUAAAAGUUACAUUUGUGACGCCACCCUCUUGACAAGCCACCAUUGCUUUUAUUGUUUCUUUGCUCGAAAUGUGCCCUUAAUAAAGGAAUUUAUUUCUUCUUAAAUUAAUGGGAGGUAUUUUCAGAAAGUCAAUCUAAUUGCUUAAUUUGCCACAGGACUUUGGGAGGGUCCAGUUCGGAGUGUGGGACAGUAGCUUUCUGUUUAGCAGUGUCAAGGAGAGGCAGAAAACCACCAUGACUUAGUAUAGCCGUAACUAGAGCAAGGUUUUGGGCUGAGAUGAUGAACAUUGAAACAGAGAGGAGGCUUAAUAUGAACCGUUGAGGCACUAGAUGGGAGAGAAGGGCCUCUGGAAUAAAUACUUACUGAGCCCCAAAAUAUACUGUAUUACACCAACAUUUGAAAUGCUGUAUGAGGUCUUGUGGAUAGGUUUUUUUUACAGUACAAACAGUCUUAAAUUCAGUCCAGAUUAGUUCAAAAACCAAAACCAUAUCUAAAUACAAAAUGCUGUCACAGUUGCCAUGAUAUAGGUCAUAAAUAUUGCAUGACAGUACAGAACACUGCCUG